GUGUCCAACCUCCCAACUAGGCAACCGGCCUUACAACUAUUCUUAUGUUAGGGACAAAGAUUGUCAAUUUCACUACCUCUGUUGUUAAUAGUAAACACAGUUUCACUGUCAUGAAAAGUGAUACAGCAACAUAUAAACAAAACCUAGUGAAAAGAACACGGGAAGAGGAAAAACAACAGUAGGUGUUUGAGUAAUGGCAUUGGGGGUGAAUUUUGUUUUUACAUUUUUUAUUAUUUUUGAUGUUAUUUGUACCUUUAAACUUUUGGUUCAUUAACACAUGCUCACUCAUGGAAAAUUUUUAGUUAGGUGAGUAUGAACUCAUUUUGUUUAUUUUUGUGCUAACUAUGAAAGAGAUGUUAACAGAAAUUACAGAUUUAAAAAACAUUGUUUGGAAGGGGAGGUGGUUUGCUUAAUCUGAGAAUAAAUUAUUUUUUGGCAUUACCUUAGACUCAUCGUAGAAAUAGACAAUCUAAAUUCUUUGUUAUAGCCACAUUUGUCAGGACUGAAGACACCAGUUGUGUUUUAAUCAUAAGAUCACAGUAUUCCUUUGUCCUAUGUCUGGAGACUUCUUGGAAGCUGGAGCACACAAAUAGCUACAGCAAAACUUGAGGAAUGGGCAUGAAUAGACUGGCUUCGGGGAACCUGCCAGCUUGGCUGUGUGGCCAAGGUAAGAGGCAAGCCAAGGCAGAGCUAGAGCUCAGAGCUGGAGGGUAAAUUAAAGCAACAAAUGUAGAAAUAUUAAGCCUGAAGAGGCGACAACGUUGAACUCUAAAAUGCAGGCCAAAGCUCAGACUUCAAGCCGUCUGGCUGCUCCUGGAGUGCCCAGAGGUCAAAGUCCAGCAGGAGCAAAGGUGGGGGUGUGGUCCUGGAAUGUGGAGUGUUGGAGGGAUGUGCAAGAGGAGGCACUUUAAGGUCCAGAGAUUCCAGCUGCCUGGUGUACCCUUGGAAGAAUAAAGGGCUAGGAACUGGAUAAGUCAGGCUCAAGUCCAAGCUGCCUAAGGAAUCAGGGAAAGAAUGGAGCUCAGAGUGAAAGGUCAGGGCAGCAUCUAAAAACCCAGGAUAGCAGCAAAGCUGGCAGGGGCCCCUGACUCUGGUAAGAGCAGCCUGCAGCACCAUGCCACGGGAGGCCUGAUUGAUCACUGCAAGGUUCUUUGAAUUGACUGCACCAUGGAUUACACCGUAGUUGAGCCAUAGUGACUCCUGUGACCCACACAUACACCUCCAGAUGGCCUCCUGGAGCCAGAAAGUCUGAGAGAACAAGAAAACCGCAAAAAUAGAAGACUAGCCCCUGCAGUGCCUGAUUAACCGACCUUGCAACAUUCCACCACUGCUUCUGCCUCAACUGAUAAAUCAACCUUGUGACACUGGACGCUGUGGCCUGAUUAACCGACCUUGUGACAUUCUACCGCUGUUCCUGCCUCAAUGGAUAGGUCAACCUUGUGACAUUGGACCCUGUGACACCCCCCACCCCCAGCUUGCAAAACAAAACAUCCUAAACUGUAACUUUCCAUGGUCUGCUCCCAAUCUAUAAAACCAGCUCCUAUCCCACCACCCUCUGUUGACUCUCUUUUCAGACUCAGCCUGUUCACAUCCGAGCAAAUAAACAGCCUUGUUGCUCACACAAAGCCUGUUUAGGCGGUCUCCUCAUUCAAGGCACACUUAACAGCCACACCUUGCGUUUACAGACGAGGAUUAGUAGGGUAUGAGUAGGAUCCUGCUGGUGCCAGGGAAGGCAAUGCCGUAUACAUCUUUAGAAAGUUUUCACAAAGGCCUGAAGGACACAAUCUUCUCCAAAGUCCCAAUGUCGCUGUUUGCUGGCAACAAUUCGAGCCAAAAGAGAAGUGGCACAGAAUGCGCCAGGGGUGUGCUGCGUAUAGCCCCGAGGACCACAAGGGCUUCCUGGGUCAGGUCUGCCAUCUCUGGCUAAGAUGGGCUCACCAUCUAGGACCUUGACCAAGUUCCUGGACCACCAAGAAUGCCCCACCAAGAGCCUCCUUCUUCUGGUGGCUUGUGCCUGCUUCCCAUGGAGAACUCCAGAAGGGAGAAAACUAUGAGGAGGUGGAGAAUGUGGCAGGGAUCCUAACUUUCUUGCUGAAGGAAGUUCUUAACAAGUACCCAUCUGCCUUCAGGGAAGAAAACAUAACUCAUUUUUGUCUUUCAAAUUCAAUUCUCAAAACCAAAUCCUGUUGUCAGCAAUCUGUGUCCCAACGCCUUCCUCAGCAACAGCAUUUUCCCUGUAGAAUUAGUUUCCAAUGUUCAUUCUUAAAUAAUCCACAGAAGAUUAAAAGGAAUCCAGAUACCC